rnacentral:rRNA from 1 species
UACGUAGGGUGCAAGCGUUACUCGGAAUUACUGGGCGUAAAGCGUGCGUAGGUGGUUCGUUAAGUCUGAUGUGAAAGCCCUGGGCUCAACCUGGGAAUGGCAUUGGAAACUGGCGACCUAGAGUGCGGUAGAGGGCAGUGGAAUUCCCGGUGUAGCAGUGAAAUGCGUAGAGAUCGGGAGGAACAUCUGUGGCGAAGGCGACUGCCUGGACCAGCACUGACACUGAGGCACGAAAGCGUGGGGAGCAAACAGG